rnacentral:rRNA from 1 species
CGCGUGGUGGAUGAAGCCCUUNGGUGGUGUAAACACCUGUCAGGNGGGAAGAUAAUGNCGGUACCCCCAUGAUGAAGGGACGNCUAACUACNUGCCAACAGACCGCGGUAAUACGUACGUCCCGAACGUUGCGCGAAUACNUAGGUCCCGAACGUUGCGCGA